rnacentral:rRNA from 1 species
GACGAACGCUGGCGGCGUGCUUAACACAUGCAAGUCGAACGAAGUGGCGAACGGGUGAGUAAUAGGUGGGUAACCUGCCCUCCUUUUUGGGAUAAGCGUUGGAAACGGGGUCUAAUACCGAAUAAAGGGGGAUGGGCGCGCGGCCUAUCAGCUUGUUGGUGGGGUGAUGGUCUACCAAGGCGGUGACGGGUAGCCGGCCUGAGAGGGCGACCGGGAACAGUGGGACUGGGCUACGGCCCAGAGUACGACGCGGGGCAGAAGUGGGGACUAUGGGAGAAAGGGCGAUAGCCGGAUGCAGCGUCGCCGAGGGGGGGAUUAGGGUUGUCAGGUUGUAUACGUGUGUAGGAAGGGAACGGGUAGGCGGAGAAGAAGCGCCGGCUAACUACGUGCCAGCAGCCGCGGUAAUAC